rnacentral:lncRNA from 1 species
ACUCAAAAAUUCAUUCUAAAUUUAACUGAGAAUCUGUUCUAGAAAUGCAAAUUUAAUACCUCAAGUCAGAGAGAAGAAAAUGGACACACAUGAAAGAACUGUAAUACUUAUGGGAACAUAAAUUAUUAAAAAUUAGGUACUUUCUUAGAUAUGAUAUGAGAAAAAUGAUGAGUUGACUAUAUGGUCAAAAUAAUUUCAUGAAAAGAAAAAUUUAAUUUUUGGAUCUAUAUUGUAUAAUUCAAACAGUAAGUGGAGCCUAACUUCUUUAUUACACAGAACUGUAGUUUUCUACUCCCCUCCUCUUAGAACAAUUACUUUAUAAAUCAAUGGUUUGCUGGGCUCAUCAGUUUUUUUAGUACC